CCUACGGGUGGCAGCAGUGGGGAAUAUUGGGCAAUGGGCGCAAGCCUGACCCAGCAACGCCGCGGGAAGGAAGAAGGCUUUCGGGUUGUAAACUUCUUUUCUCAGGGACGAAGCAAGUGACGGUACCGGAGGAAUAAGCCACGGCUAACUACGUGCCAGCAGCCGCGGUAAUACGUAGGUGGCAAGCGUUAUCCGGAUUUACGGGGUGUAAAGGGCGUGUAGGCGGGGACGAAAGGCAGAUGGGAAAACCCCGGGCUCAACCUGUGGCCUGCAUUUGAAACUGUGUUUCUUGAGUACUGGAGAGUCAGCCGGAAUUCCUCGUGUAGCCGUGAACUGCGUAGCUCUUAGGA
rnacentral:rRNA from 1 species